GGGUUGUGAGGUUAAGCGACUAAGCGUACACGGUGGAUGCCCUGGCAGUCAGAGGCGAUGAAGGACGUGCUAAUCUGCGAAAAGCGCCGGCGAGGUGAUAUGAACCUUUGACCCGGCGAUGUCCGAAUGGGGAAACCCAGUGUGAUUCGUCACACUAUCGUUAACUGAAUACAUAGGUUAACGAGGCGAACCGGGGGAACUGAAACAUCUAAGUACCCCGAGGAAAAGAAAUCAACCGAGAUUCCCCCAGUAGCGGCGAGCGAACGGGGAGCAGCCCAGAGUCUGAAUCAGCUUGUGUGUUAGUGGAAGCGUCUGGAAAGUCGCACGGUACAGGGUGACAGUCCCGUACACGAAAGCACACAGGUUGUGAACUCGAAGAGUAGGGCGGGACACGUGGUAUCCUGUCUGAAUAUGGGGGGACCAUCCUCCAAGGCUAAAUACUCCUGACUGACCGAUAGUGAACCAGUACCGUGAGGGAAAGGCGAAAAGAACCCCGGCGAGGGGAGUGAAAAAGAACCUGAAACCGUGUACGUACAAGCAGUGGGAGCACCUUCGUGGUGUGACUGCGUACCUUUUGUAUAAUGGGUCAGCGACUUAUAUUCUGUAGCAAGGUUAACCGUAUAGGGGAGCCGAAGGGAAACCGAGUCUUAACUGGGCGUUAAGUUGCAGGGUAUAGACCCGAAACCCGGUGAUCUAGCCAUGGGCAGGUUGAAGGUUGGGUAACACUAACUGGAGGACCGAACCGACUAAUGUUGAAAAAUUAGCGGAUGACUUGUGGCUGGGGGUGAAAGGCCAAUCAAACCGGGAGAUAGCUGGUUCUCCCCGAAAGCUAUUUAGGUAGCGCCUCGUGAACUCAUCUUCGGGGGUAGAGCACUGUUUCGGCUAGGGGGCCAUCCCGGCUUACCAACCCGAUGCAAACUACGAAUACCGAAGAAUGUUAUCACGGGAGACACACGGCGGGUGCUAACGUCCGUCGUGAAGAGGGAAACAACCCAGACCGCCAGCUAAGGUCCCAAAGUCAUGGUUAAGUGGGAAACGAUGUGGGAAGGCACAGACAGCCAGGAUGUUGGCUUAGAAGCAGCCAUCAUUUAAAGAAAGCGUAAUAGCUCACUGGUCGAGUCGGCCUGCGCGGAAGAUGUAACGGGGCUAAACCAUGCACCGAAGCUGCGGCAGCGACACUAUGUGUUGUUGGGUAGGGGAGCGUUCUGUAAGCCGUUGAAGGUGUGCUGUGAGGCAUGCUGGAGGUAUCAGAAGUGCGAAUGCUGACAUAAGUAACGAUAAAGCGGGUGAAAAGCCCGCUCGCCGGAAGACCAAGGGUUCCUGUCCAACGUUAAUCGGGGCAGGGUGAGUCGACCCCUAAGGCGAGGCCGAAAGGCGUAGUCGAUGGGAAACAGGUUAAUAUUCCUGUACUUGGUGUUACUGCGAAGGGGGGACGGAGAAGGCUAUGUUAGCCGGGCGACGGUUGUCCCGGUUUAAGCAUGUAGGCGGAGGUUCCAGGUAAAUCCGGUACCUUUUAACGCUGAGGUGUGAUGACGAGGCACUACGGUGCUGAAGUAACAAAUGCCCUGCUUCCAGGAAAAGCCUCUAAGCAUCAGGUAACAUCAAAUCGUACCCCAAACCGACACAGGUGGUCAGGUAGAGAAUACCAAGGCGCUUGAGAGAACUCGGGUGAAGGAACUAGGCAAAAUGGUGCCGUAACUUCGGGAGAAGGCACGCUGAUAUGUAGGUGAAGCCCCUGCGGGUGGAGCUGAAAUCAGUCGAAGAUACCAGCUGGCUGCAACUGUUUAUUAAAAACACAGCACUGUGCAAACACGAAAGUGGACGUAUACGGUGUGACGCCUGCCCGGUGCCGGAAGGUUAAUUGAUGGGGUUAGCGGCAACGCGAAGCUCUUGAUCGAAGCCCCGGUAAACGGCGGCCGUAACUAUAACGGUCCUAAGGUAGCGAAAUUCCUUGUCGGGUAAGUUCCGACCUGCACGAAUGGCGUAAUGAUGGCCAGGCUGUCUCCACCCGAGACUCAGUGAAAUUGAACUCGCUGUGAAGAUGCAGUGUACCCGCGGCAAGACGGAAAGACCCCGUGAACCUUUACUAUAGCUUGACACUGAACACUGGUCCUUGAUGUGUAGGAUAGGUGGGAGGCUUUGAAGUGUGGACGCCAGUCUGCAUGGAGCCGUCCUUGAAAUACCACCCUUUAAUGGCUGGUGUUCUAACGUAGACCCGUGAUCCGGGUUGCGGACAGUGUCUGGUGGGUAGUUUGACUGGGGCGGUCUCCUCCCAAAGAGUAACGGAGGAGCACGAAGGUUAGCUAAUCCUGGUCGGACAUCAGGAGGUUAGUGCAAUGGCAUAAGCUAGCUUGACUGCGAGAGUGACGGCUCGAGCAGGUGCGAAAGCAGGUCAUAGUGAUCCGGUGGUUCUGAAUGGAAGGGCCAUCGCUCAACGGAUAAAAGGUACUCCGGGGAUAACAGGCUGAUACCGCCCAAGAGUUCAUAUCGACGGCGGUGUUUGGCACCUCGAUGUCGGCUCAUCACAUCCUGGGGCUGAAGUAGGUCCCAAGGGUAUGGCUGUUCGCCAUUUAAAGUGGUACGCGAGCUGGGUUUAGAACGUCGUGAGACAGUUCGGUCCCUAUCUGCCGUGGGCGCUGGAGAAUUGAGGGGGGCUGCUCCUAGUACGAGAGGACCGGAGUGGACGCAUCACUGGUGUUCGGGUUGUCAUGCCAAUGGCACUGCCCGGUAGCUAAAUGCGGAAAAGAUAAGUGCUGAAAGCAUCUAAGCACGAAACUUGCCCCGAGAUGAGUUCUCCCUGAGACUUUAAGUCUCCUGAAGGAACGUUGAAGACGACGACGUUGAUAGGUCGGGUGUGUAAGCGCAGCGAUGCGUUGAGCUAACCGAUACUAAUGAACCGUGAGGCUUAACCUUACAACGCCGAAG
rnacentral:rRNA from 1 species